AGAGGCCGGACCUGGGCAACCCCAGCCUGGAGGUGCCGGGGCCGGAGCUCCCAGAGGGCUGGGUGCGAGGCCUAGGCGGGGUCAGGUUCGGGUUCCUAGGCCAUAGCGGAGCUGCAGCCCAGGCGGCCGGAGCGGAACCCAGCCCCGCUCCGAGUGCCACGUCUCCAGGAACCCCCUCCUUACUCUUGGACAACACUCCGCCCCCGCCCGGGCCUCCGUCCCCCAAACCGCCCUCAUUUGUGCAGCGCCAGAUCCUUCGGACACAUCCCUAGGUGUCUCCAUCCUCAUUCGGUCCAUCCAACUCCCAGACCUCACGUCAACCGGCUGCACCCCACUUUCCAGCCUGCGCCCCAGAUCUGCAGCCUUCGCCCCUAGAUACACCCGCCUGGUGAUGAGGCGCUCCUCGCGUUCCUUCCGUCUCCAGUGCACCGGCUUUCCCUCGUCCUCUGCGCAGUCCAUCUCAGCUCAUCUCUCCAAUUCAAUGCCAUCAUCUCUCCUCACCAUCUCUCGGUGCCCUGGAAUGUUUGCUGUCAGAUGUCCCCUGUGAAACCCACAAACGCUUGCGAUUUGGCCUCCUUGUUUUAUUUUGUGUAGUCCUACAACGUCUUGUUACUACCCCCUAUUACAACACUUAUAACUCAG
rnacentral:lncRNA from 10 species